rnacentral:rRNA from 1 species
CCUACGGGGGGCAGCAGUGAGGAAUAUUGGUCAAUGGGCGGAAGCCUGAACCAGCCAAGUAGCGUGCGGGAUGAAUGCCCUACGGGUCGUAAACCGCUUUUGCAUGGGGAGAACACCCUCUACUUGUGGAGGUCUGCAGGUACCGUGCGAAUAAGCGCCGGCUAAUUCCGUGCCAGCAGCCGCGGUAAUACGGAGGGCGCGAGCGUUAUCCGGAUUCAUUGGGCUUAAAGGGAGCGUAGGCGGCAGUAUAAGUUAGCGGUAAAAUAGCGCGGCUCAACCGCGCUACGCAGUUAAUACUGGAGACCUAGAGAUCAGAAGAGGCAGGCGGAAUUAGUGAAGUAGCGGUGAAAUGCAUAGAUAUAACGAGGAACCCCGAUAGCGAAGGCAGCCUGCCGGGGUGCGUCUGACGCUGAGGCACGAAGGCACGGGUAUCGAACAGGAUUAGAUACCCCUGUAGUC